rnacentral:misc_RNA from 1 species
AGGCAAGUAAAUGUACAGUAAGGAUAAAGAUUAGUUUAUGGUCUCAAUGGCUUCUCAAAGUAAAAGCCUCAUGUUAUCAGAGCAAGGCAGAAUUAGUUGACCAAAUUCUUCAAAACAAGCAACUUUUUUUCCCUCAGAGGGAGGAAAGAAAAAGAUAGAAGGAGCAACUUUUCUGAUUUUUGAUGAUUGUCUGAUUGUGAGUGCUAUCAUUUUUCUCAUAUCAGGGCAUUCAAUUGCAAGCAAUGAACCAAGAUAUAAAGCACUGGGUUAUUGCACUGUGAGACAAUCUUCCAAAAAGGAAAAAAAAAUAGGAGAUAAUUAUAUCUGAAGCUGGAUUUCACCUAAUAUAACACUUCUUGAUCCAAAACAACAAAUUAGAAAAACAAAUCAGCACUACCCACAAAACCCUGAUAACCUGUAUCGAUUUUCCUAUUGGGAUUAUCCAAUUUUAAUGUUAUAAGCACACACAUAUAGAAGAGCACCCAUGGAAUUCAUGGUUAUUCAACAACAGAAGGCCAGAGGAAUAAAAUUAGAAGCAGAAAUUGAGAGCCAGCAAAUAUAUUGUGAUUAAAAUAAUUAAACAGUAUCAUCACAGCUCGAAAUGUCAAGAUAAGGGUUUGAUAACUUCUUGAUUAUCAAAACCUAACACACACCCACAAACAUGUAAGUGAUACCACCAGGCAUAUAAUCAUCCAUCCAACACAAAGACAUGAUCAUCAAGAGAAAUUUAUAUGAUAUGAAUGUUGGUAUUUGAGGUUUUAGAAGACAAACCUGAGCUAGGAUAUAACAGAAACAAAGAGAACAGAUAGUACUGAGCUUUUAUAAAAGAG